GGGAACAACAGCUGGAAACGGCUGCUAAUACCCCAUAGGCUGAGGAGCAAAAGGAGGAAUCCACCCAAGGAGGGGCUCGCGUCUGAUUAGUUAGUUGGUGAGGCAAUGGCUUACCAAGGCGACGAUCAGUAGCUGGUCCGAGAGGAUGAUCAGCCACACUGGGACUGAGACACGGCCCAG
rnacentral:rRNA from 1 species